GGUCAUUUGUUAUCAGAUUUAACUUAUUAUUAACUGUAACCUUUGUUCUUUGUAGCAUGAAGAAGAUUCAAGGUCUAAUUGAUUGUCAUUUUUGAUUUGCAAUUUUUUAUUUUUGGUUUUUUUCAUUUCCUCACUUUAGAUAUAACUAUUAGGUUACAAGCCAAAGAGUGCUAGAAAGAGGAAGAAAUUCGGAGAGAAAGAGAAUAUCUCAGGAAACUCGGUUAAUAGAUUUACAUUUCCCGUUUCUCCUCGCACCAAAUAACCAUGGUAUGAACAAUUUCCUAUGUUUCUUUAGUUCUAAAUUUUUUGCAAUAGAUAAUGAAGUUAAGACCAAUUUUUCUAAUUCAUGCAGUUAUAUCGUUCCCAACACAUGUAAGUCCUACCACUUUCAGUAAUAGUCCAGUUUAUCAACUGGAGGUAAUGUCAUUUGUGACGUUCACUUUGUGUGAUUCUAUGUCUAAUAGAUUGAAAUGUUUCACAAUUUACACCUAUAUAUGUUUCUGUGUGUUUGCAAGGUCUUAGGAAGAGUAGUGUUGUUACCAGGACAGUAAUGUGACCACUCUAACCUUAUACAACUUUACUCUGCAAUACUAUUAAUUUUAGUGUUUAAUCAAGUUUCAUGCACUACUAUUUUUGGUAGAACCACAUGAUUCAUGCUUUUGUGAGUACAUUAUAUUUAAAUACUACGUUUGAUAGAUGUUCUACAGUUCUAGGUCAUAUACAAAAUGUUCAGUCUAUGAAGUCUUCCAAAAAUGAUAGCGAGAAAGUACUAACCAAGUUUGAUCUGUUUGAUGAGAGGUAUACUAUUGUCAUUUUAAUCAUUUCUUUUAACGAUUGAUUUACACUAUAUAAUUUUGACUCAUUAAUUGGGAGAUACAUUGUACCUGUAACUCUAUUUGACGAUUUUGGAGUGGAGUUUGAACAAGCUUUAAAAUGUUCCGGUGAGCCUGAGGUGUAUGUCAUUAUUUGUGCGGCAAAGAUUAUAGUGUCAACCAGCUGAGGCAGAGAAUACUUGCCAUGAAAACUGAAGAAGUCAAAUCUCCACCACUGGAAGAAGUCAAAUAUCAAACUCUAACUGUUAAGGAGAUUCAGUCAUUGAGAUCUGAAUCCAGCGACGCACCUUCAGUCAAUCUCCAAGAUGACAACAACGACACUCCACAUACUGCAAUUUCCUCAACCAAAACACGACGUAGGGUGGCUGUUGAGCCUGUUGCUUUUGAUCCGAAAGGAGAAAUUCCAGCGAAAGUCAUGCGUCAUGAUAAGAAG